UGGGGAAUUUUGACAAUGGGCGAAAGCCUGAUCCAGCAAUGCCGCGUGUGUGAAGAAGGCCUUCGGGUUGUAAAGCACUUUUGUCCGGAAAGAAAUCCUUGGCUCUAAUACAGUCGGGGGAUGACGGUACCGGAAGAAUAAGCACCGGCUAACUACGUGCCAGCAGCCGCGGUAAUACGUAGGGUGCAAGCGUUAAUCGGAAUUACUGGGCGUAAAGCGUGCGCAGGCGGUUUGCUAAGACCGAUGUGAAAUCCCGGGCUCAACCUGGGAACUGCAUUGGUGACUGGCAGGCUAGAGUAUGGCAGAGGGGGGUAGAAUUCCACGUGUAGCAGUGAAAUGCGUAGAGAUGUGGAGGAAUACCGAUGGCGAAGGCAGCCCCCUGGGCCAAUACUGACGCUCAUGCACGAAAGCGUGGGGAGCAAACAGGAUUCAGAUACCCGUGGUAGUCCAGCGCCCUAAACGAUGUCAACUAGUUGUUGGGGAUUCAUUUCCUUAGUAACGUAGCUAAGCGCGUGAAGUUGACCGCCUGGGGAGUACGGUCGCAAGAUUAAAACUCAAAGGAAUUGACGGGGUCAUAGCUGUUUCCU
rnacentral:rRNA from 1 species